UACAGAGGAGCCAAGCGUUGUCCGGAUUGACUGGGCGUAAAGCGCACGCAGGCGGUUGCGCGCGUGGGGUGUGAAAUCUGGCCGCUUAACGGCCAGGCGCCAUCCCAUACGGCGCGACUGGAGUGAUGCAGAGGUCGAUGGAAUUGCCGGUGUAGUGGUGAAAUGCGUAGAGAUCGGCAGGAACACCCAGGGGGGAAACCAGUCGACUGGGCAUCUACUGACGCUGAGGUGCGAGAGCGUGGGGAGCGAACGGG
rnacentral:rRNA from 1 species